rnacentral:rRNA from 1 species
CCUACGGGUGGCAGCAGUGGGGAAUAUUGCACAAUGGGCGAAACCCUGAUGCAGCGACGCCGCGUGAGUGAAGAAGGAUUUCUGUAUUUUAAGCUCCAUCAGCAGGGGAGAAAAUGACGGUACCUGAUUAAGAAGCCCCGGCUACCUACGUGACAGCAUCCGCGGUAAUACGUAGGGGGCCAGCGUUAUCCGGAUUUACUGGGUGUAAAGGGAGCGUAGGCGGCAGCACAAGUCUGGAGUGAAAUGCCGGGGCUUAACCCUGGAACUGCUUUGGAAACUGUGAAGCUAGAGUGUAGGAGAAGUAAGGGGAAUUCGUGGUGUAGCGGUGAAAUGCGUAGAUAUUAGGAGGAACACCAGUUGCGAAGGCGGCUUACUGGACUGUAACUGACGUUGAGGCUCGAAAGCGUGGGGAGCAAACAGGAUUAGAUACCCGAGUAGUC